rnacentral:lncRNA from 1 species
UUGCUUAUUUCAUCUGUAGUUUCAUUUAUUUGAUCAAAUGGUUUCUCCACAUUUCUAAGCCAGCAAGACUGGCUUUUAUAAUGAUGAAUAAGCUAAUGAUUCAUAGAGAACAGUUUGUAUGUUUUUAUAGCUAUUAUCUGUGAGUCAUUAGCUGUCCAUCGUAAAAAAAUGCCAGCUUGAGAAAAAUGGAGAAACUGUUUGUCAAAUAAGUGGAACUAU